AAUAUUCGACAAUGGGCGAAAGUCUAAUACAGCCACGCCGCGUGUGUGAGGAAGAUCUUCGGUUUGUAAAGCACUUUAAGUUGGGAGGAAGGGCAGUAAGUUAAUACCUUGCUGUUUUGACGUUACCUACAGAAUAAUCACCGUCUAUCUUCGUGCCAGCAGCCGCGGUAAUACGAAGGGUGCAAGCGUUAAGCGGAAUUACUGGGUGUAAGGCAAGCUGAGGUGGUUUGUUACGUUGGAAGUGCGAGCCCCAGGCUCAACCUGGGAACUACUUUCAAAACUGGCAAGCUAGAGUAUGGCAGAGAGUGGUGGAAUUUACUGUGUAGCUGUGAAAUGCGUAGAUAUAGGAAGGAACACCAGUGGCGAAGGCAACCACCUGUGCUGAUAAUGACACUCAGGUGCGAGAGCAUGGGGAGCAAAC
rnacentral:rRNA from 1 species